AGUUAGCCAAUUUAGGCUCUCCAUAUUAAUAAUAUGAGUGAUCAUUUUUAAUCAAUAAAAUGAAAUUAUGAUUUUGUCAAGUAGUGGUUUCAUGGGGUUUCUUUGAAACAAUAAUAUUAAUAAUUCAGUGUAUCCAGCUAAUAAAUAUAUACCUGGUAUUACAUUUUGGAAAAGCUGUAUAUUGGCAAUCAGAUUCCUUCAGGAAACACUAUUGGACACUAAAUGUAGGUACAUAUCUCAGUUAGGAUUCGUACUAUGAUUCGCCAUGUUGUUGGAGUUAGUUAGACUCGACUCCGUUGUACUUUAGAAUGCUAUUUUACAUCAGAACAUACAACAUCACUGUAACAGAUUGGCUCCCUCAACAUCCCCCCUGAACUUGUUGGUUGGAGGCUUGGAGCAUUAUUCUAGAGAAUAAAGCUGACUUGACAUACCAGUAUAGUAUCUGCUUGCAAAUUCCUUUACCUUUCUUUUCAUCCUUUCAUGUUUCCAGUCUAGUCUGGACAAAAAAUGUGGCAUCUAGUUUAAUAUCUCUCUAAAAAAAAAAAAAGCUUACAAAUAGUCUCUUAUAAAUUUAAUUACAAAAUCAAGACAUUAGUCCCUUGAUUCCAUUUUUAAAGAAAAAGAACAGGAUAAGAAGCCGUUGACAAGAAUGGAUCAUUCUGCAUGAAAAAUAUGAUGUAAUGAUUCUAGUCUGCAUAAUAAUCCAAUUGGGGUGCUAAUUACUUUGUCCAUUACUUAAUUGUUAAUGUUUAGAGACAGUGAACACAUAUUAAGCAAUUACAAACAAAUAGAUAGUUAGAUUAAAAUAUCUUUAUUUAAUUUAGGAGAAAUUACACUAAUUUCUCAUGAGAUUUUUUUAGGCUUUGUUUUGUUUGAGAGUUGAAUUUUAGAAGGUUUUGAAGGAUUUUAAACGAUAUAUUUUGUGGUUUUUGAUGGUAUGUUGAGACCAAAGUUUGUUGGGGAGUUUCAGGGCACAUGAGUAACAACGGACCAAAUAUCAUUUUUGAAAAUAAAAAAGAAUUCAUUAUUCAUGGUAGGAACAUUUCAUAAUUCAUUUGUAUAACUUUUGAGGCAAUAAAUCUCCUUGCUAAGAAAUUGCUGUAAUAAGAGGUGUCAUAAUGCAUUUGUAUAACUUUUGAGGCAAUAAAUCCCCUAGCUAAGAAAUUGCUGUAAUAAGAGGUGUCAAAUCAGAUAAAUUUUUGUGUGUUCACAAAAUAAUUUCUAUGAAUGUGUGUUAAUACUUGACUGUGUACAGAUUUUUCCCAACAUAAAUGUCGGGAAAGUUGCAUUCUCCACUCCCUUUAAAAUUUUGUUCCUAAAAUUACAACUAAGUUAUUUAUAUAAUCUAGUUUCAAAGCUUUUGUGAGUCACAUGAUUUUGAUCUAUUAGUAAAAAAAAAAAAACUAAAAUUCAGUUCGCAUGUAGAUAAUCAGCUACCUAAGAUGAAAUUGGUUUCCAUACAUUUUUUUUUUUCUUGAACCUUACUUACUGUCUUCCGAAUGUCACAUUUAUCUUAAGCAUUGCAUCAUCAAUGCAUCUAAAGUAAGCAUGCCUCCAACCCUUAUUCAACAACAAAAAUCCAAUCAAAGCCCAAAAGCCAGUAGCAAAUCCAAGUGCAACCAAAAACCACAACUUCUCAACCUUAUCAUGUUUGUCACCUUCAUCUCUUUUAUCUUCAUCACAAUGAUUGGAAAAUGGUGCACCACAUAAAAGUUUGUUUCCAACAUAAAUAAAUGGGUCAUUAGAUAUUAAAAAUUGGUUUCCUUGUGGAAUUGGUCCUGAAAGGUUGUUGUAGGACAGGUUUAUGUCACUUAGGAAAGUUAAACUAGACAUGGUGUGUGGGAUUAAGCCUGAAAAUUGAUCAUGAGAGAGGUCCAAAGACUCAAGUGACUUUAUGUCCCCUAUAGUUGUAGGAAUUUCACCUGACAGAUGAUUGUGUGAAAGAUUUAGGCUUUGCAAAGCAAUAAGAGGAACAUUUUGUUAUUUGACAAAUCCACUCAAAUUGUUAUUUGAAAAAUUCACAUUGGUCACAAGCUUAAGGUUUCUUGUAUAAUGAUCUUCUCUUCCUUUAAUGAUCUGGCUGACAUCUUGUUCAUACCAUUCUGAAUACCUCCGCUCUUCGAGAUCUGAGAGAAAUUGAUAGUUUCCUUCCUUGAAUCAUUGCUGUCAUGCUUCCAAUGCAAUGAGGGAUUGAGCCAUUGAACAUGUUUGUGGAAAGGUCCAA